CGUGGCCCAGCGGCAGAGCGCCAGGGUCAUGAACCAAUGGUCGUGGGUUCAAGU
rnacentral:tRNA from 1 species